rnacentral:lncRNA from 1 species
CUCAGGCAUACAAGUUCUCAGAAAAUAUGCCACCUGGAGACACACAUUGAAAACAUUUUUGAGGAAGUACAGAAAUGAGAAGACAAAUUAAAAAACCCCCAAAUGCUUUAAGAGAUCUCAACAAGUAAGAGUAUUAUACAUUUAUGUAAAGUUUAUUGUAGCCUUAAGAAAGAAAGAGCAACUAGGACCAAACAAAGAGAAAGUUUACCUACUACAAUACAAAACUAAAAUCUUAGAUAUUGUCAAUAUGACGCGGGUGCUUUGGGAAAAAAUAAAAAGAACAGGAGAACGUAUGCGAAUAUCUACUUCUUUUGUUAGGGUAAUAAUGUGGAUGAGAUACAAAUCGGAAGAAAAUAAUUAAGGUUAUGGUUGUAUAGGUCAUGACACAGAAAGCAUAUCAAUAAUUUAUCAAGGAACAUUUAAUGUAACAGUUAUGGACUAACAAAAGAUGGUUCAACUUUCAACAAAGUUAACAAAACUAUUGAGAGAGGUAAAAGAUAAGUGUAGACUAGCAAGCGGAGUCUGGAAGUUCCCAGGCCAAGGACCGAACCUGUGCCACAGCAGUGAUGAUGCUGGAUCCUUAACCCACUGAGCCACCAGGGAACUCCACAGAAUAGCAAAUGUAGGUAGUCCUACUACCUUUAAGGUUGAGGGAGGAUACGCAAGGGAGGAACAAGCUUGGAACAGGCCCCCUUCCCAAGGCUGAGGUUCGUGUGUCCUUUCCUUGGGGAGGGGGAGGCUGUAGCUCACUGGGUGAUGGAAUUGCACUGGAGAGCUACAACUCAGAGCUGGGGUGCAGCGGGCAGGCCAGCGCUGGUUAGCUGGAAGCCGUCCCCAGGGUGAAGAUGCAGUUUGCUGGAGAGUGAGUGGUACUGGGUCUCCAAAGGAGACAUCUCAGAAACGGAAGAUCCGGGAAGGGAAGCCACCGCCUCUGCUCAGCCUUGCCGUGUCCCGCCAGUGCCCUCUGCUGAUAAGGCCCGACACUGUACCAGCUGGUAAGUUAGAAUGCUCACAGGGGCCACUUCCAGGUGGCACUGGAGCUGACAAGCGCUAAACUGAUGCCUGGCAUAGUCCUCCCCCGUUUUUCCCCCAGUCAGGGCUGCAUUGUCAACUUUCAUCAUUCAUGUUCUGUGUUAUCGAAUAGUCUGUCUUGGGCACAUGUUCUGGUUAUCGUUUCCCUGCAUUGCUUCAUUUUUGGACUGUUUUUCAGCUCUGUGAGGUUUAGAAAGUGAAUAAUAACGCAAAUAAUUUUAGUCCGUAGACACGGCAGUGAAUUGUUUCCAGUGAAACACAAAAAGUUGACUCUUCCUGUGGUUAGACCAUUUCGUAUCUGUAAAUUCAUUCUAGCAUUCCUAGUUGCCCAUAAGUAUGAUCGUUGGAGCGCUCCUUCGAUCUAGUCGUGACGUGAUACUGGUUUCCUCAUUAAUUGAUGAGGUGAGUAAAAUAUUUGACAUGUAUUAAUUUUAUAUUUGUAUGAGCGUUAUGAUCUUAUCUUUCAAAAAAAAUUACAUCUUAAAUCAGCCAGUCCUAGAGCCGCCAAGUUCAUAGAGAUGAAAAGUAGAACGUGGUAAGGAGUUCCCUGGUCACCUAGUGGUUAAUUGCUGUGGCCCGGGGUUAAUCUCUGGUCUGGGAACUAAGAUCCCACAUCAAGCUGCUGUAUGCCAUGGUCAAAAAAAAAAUUUUUUUUUAAAUGUGGUUGUCCAAGCCUGGGGGAAGAAGGGCAUGGAGAGUUAUUAUUUAAUGGGUACCAAGCGUCAGUUUGAGAAGAUCAGAAAGUUCUGGAGAUAGAUGGUGGUGAUGGUUGCACAAAAAAAAAUGAGAAUGUCCUUAAUGCCACUAAAUUGAAGGUUUAAAAAAGGGAUAAAAUGGUAAAAAACCCAAAAGGAUAAAAUGGUAGAGUUCGUGUUACACAUAUGUGACCACAAUAUAAAAAACAAAAAUUAAAAGUUGUACACCAGCUACAUUCAUUGCUUCUCAAAUUCAGUCAUAGUUCUCCUACAUAUUCUAUUACCUAGAGAAUACAGACUAUAUUGCAGGAGUUCCCACUGUGACACAGCAGAAACAAAUCUGACUAGUAUCCUUGAGGAUGUGGGUUUGAUUCCUGGCCUCGCUCAGUGGGUUGGGGAAUCCGGCAUUGCCAUGAGCUAUGGUGUAGGUCAGAUGUGGUUCAGAUCUUGCUUUGCUGUGGCUGUGACGUAGGCUGGCAGCUGCAGCUCUGAUUUGUCCCCUAGCCUGGGAAUUUCCAUAUGCCUCAGGUACAGCCCUAAAAAAGCAGAAAAAAAUUAAAACUAAAAGAAGACUAUACUGUAAAGUUAGCCUCCAACAACUUGGACAUGGAAUAAUGGGGAAAAGAGUAAUAUUUACAGAUAUCUUUUUUAAAUUUGUAAACAUUUUUAUUAAUUUUUUUUGUCUUUUUGUCUCUUUAGGGCCACACCUGCAGCAUAUGGAGGUUCCCAGGUUAGGGGUCUAAUUGCAGCUGUAGCCACCAGCCUAUACCAGAGCCACAGCAACACCAGAUCUGAGCCGAGUCACACAGCUCAUGGCAACACUGGAUCCUUAACCCACUGAGCGAGGCGAGGGAUCAAACCUGCAACCUCAUGGCUCCUAGUCAGAUUCAUUAACCGCUGAGCCAUGACAGGAACUCCUUACAAAUAUCUUGAUCAGAAACAAUGCUGUCGGUUGGAGUUCUCUUGUUUUUGGGUUAAGGAUCCAUCACUGCAGGGGCUUGGCAUGGUGUGGGUUUGAUCCCUGGCCCAAGAACUUCCAGACACCGUGAAUGACACCAACACCCCGCCCCCAAACAAACGAACGAAAAGAAGCAAUGGUGUGUGGAAUACCAUGCUCGCCGACAAGGCGUUCUGAGUCUCUGGAUGGAGGGAUAUGGCAGUCUGAGCCUACCUGGCAGAAUUACGGGGGAAAAGGCAUCUAUACCGAACAUGUCUAUUCUAAUGAGGCGGAUUUUCUGCCCAAUCAACAGUGGAAGAGUUACAGUGUAAUCAGCCUUCUCCCAGGUGGGUCCCGACAACCCUGAGCAAUGGUGUCCCAUCAGGGAGCCAUCGCUGGUCACUGCUGUUGGCAGCUAAGGCCCUCAGCCAUAGCGUUCACCGGGGCAGCCUUGGUAAUGAGAAGUGCAUGCUGUGGCGUCCAUGGCUAGCCUCCAUCCCUGCCGUGACAGUCUGGGGAAACAGGUGGUUUGCCGUCCACUGAGCGCGUUGUCUGUCCGCGGGAUGAUUGAGAGCCUCCUCCGCAGUGAGCCCCCUUUGGGAAGUGGGCGUUUAUAUAGGUGGACACAAUCUCUCUUCAGCCCCUGUCCUUUUCAAGAAGACAAUGGACAUUCCUCUUCUCCUCGGCUCUUUGUCACCAACGUUUCAAUCCAACAACCACCAAGCAGGGGCGUACAUGCAUCUGUCUUCUCACGUCAGACAAGCUGCCUGGGUUGCCGCAACACAUGGCCACAAUCAGGUGGCUUAGAACAAUGGAAGUUAAUAUUAUCUCACAGUUCUGGAGGCAAGGAGUCUGAAAUCAAACUGUCAGCAAGCCCAUGCUCCAUCCAAAAGGCUCCAAGGGAGGGUGAUUUCUUACCCCUUCCUGGCUUCUGGGGGCUGCUGGCAAACCUCGGUGCUCCCUGACUCAGAGACAACUCAGCCGCUUCCCUGCUGCUGUCAUCACACGGGUUUCCGUGUGUAUCGUGUCCAAAUUUCCCUCUUUUAAGGACACCGGUCAUGGGAUUAGGGUCCACCUUGAUCCAGUAUGACCUCAUGUUAACCUGAUUAUACCUGCACAUAUGCUAUUUCCAAAUUAGACCACAUUCGCAGGUGCUGGGUAGGCAUGCUUUUGGGGGGAGAACAUUAUUCAGCCCAGUACAGCAGAUAAUUCUCCCAGGAGGAUUUCCCUUCACCACCAUCCAUUAGGGUCAUUUCUGGUCCUAAGCAUAUUGCAAUGAAGUAAAAAUUUAAUUACACAAGGAUAGAUAAAUUUCAGAUAUUUGGAAAUUGUUACAUAUUAGUUAAUGAACUUUAUGUUAAAAAAAAGGAAAGUACAAAGUAAAUUAACACUUAGAAAUAAACAACAAUGAAAACAGGAGUUCCUGUUGUGGCUCAGAGGGUUAAGAACCUGAUUAGUAUCUAUGAGGAUGCAGGUUCUAUCCCUGGCCUUUCUCAGUAGGUUAAGGAUCCGGCAUUGCCGUGAGCUGUGGUGUAGGUUGUAGACACAGCUCCAAUCCAGUGUUGCUGUGGCUGUGGUGCAGGCCAGCAGAUGCAGCGCUG